CCUACGGGCGGCAGCAGUGAGGAAUAUUGGUCAAUGGGCGAGAGUCUGAACCAGCCAAGUAGCGUGAAGGAUGACUGCCCUAUGGGUUGUAAACUUCUUUUAUAAAGGAAUAAAACGAGGCACGUGUGCCUUUUUGCAUGUACUUUAUGAAUAAGGAUCGGCUAACUCCGUGCCAGCAGCCGCGGUAAUACGGAGGAUCCGUGCGUUAUCCGGAUGUAUUGGGUUUAAAGGGAGCGUAGAUGGGUUGUUAAGUCAGUUGUGAAAGUUUGCGGCUCAACCGUAAAAUUGCAAUUGAUACUGGCAGUCUUGAGUACAGUUGAGGUAGGCGGAAUUCGUGGUGUAGCGGUGAAAUGCUUAGAUAUCACGAAGAACCCCGAUUGCGAAGGCAGCUUACUAAACUGUGACUGACAUUGAUGCUCGAAAGUGUGGGUAUCAAACAGGAUUAGAUACCCUGGUAGUC
rnacentral:rRNA from 1 species